ACCUGGCAGGUUUUCUACCUGUGUUGCUUCUUCAAGGCCAAGAUGUCGAUUGAGUAAUGAACGAAGUGCACUCUCCUCCCACCUUGUGUCUCAGGCAGCAGAACAUCACUGGGCAUCCUACCGAAAGCACCAUCAAAAUGCACUGGAGCCCUCUUGCCAGAACUGAUCUCUUGGUGGGGGAGGACAUGGGUACCACCUACCCAACAAGUCAAUGAGAGAUUUCUUUUUAGCUGGUAGUAUUUGGACUUGUUUUGCAACAAUAGGACCAGUAUUAGAGUCACCUAUGACCAAAAAUAAGGGUUACCAAAUAAUGCCAAAGCCAGGAUUUGUGCUGGGUUUCCUUGUGCGAUCUGUUUGAACCAGGUUUUCUUUCCUUCUCCCGCUUUCUCGGCAGCUUGAGUUUCCACUCUAGUUCUUUUAUCCAGAUUGGUAUGGCCAUGUUGAACUUGUUUCCUUCUGGUUGUCUUCUUUGGGUUUCCUUGUGAAAAC
rnacentral:lncRNA from 1 species